UCAACCCCUUAGCUUGAGCCCAAGUCAGCUGGCAUGGGCCAGCCACCAGUUUUAAAUUGCAGGGUAGACAUACCCUUAAGGGUCAGGGACCUCUCAGCCAGCCCUGCUCUGGAGAGAAGCCCAGCAAGCAGGUGCUGAGAAUCUGCCAAUUCAGCCAUACAGAAUCUAGUGAUUGGGACUGAUUUCCAGCUAAAAGAUACAAAGGAGAGCCCUUAGAGAGUUGAUAAGCUCCCUAAGAGAGCUGAUAAGAUGCUUGCUUGUGGUUGCAGUAGAAGAAGGCUGGGAGAAGGAUGUAUGCUGCUUUUGAUGUGCCUGGCACUCCUGCUGGGAUUUACACAUGUACAAUAAGGAAAAACAUUAGAGUAAAGUCAGUGUGCCUGGGAAGCGACAACAAGAGGAAAAAUGAGAUAAAUUAGAAUCAAAACUGAGCGGGGGGGAGGAAGAGCUAAAGAAGAAAAGCGCUAUUCCUGGCAGACUGUUUCAUGGUAUUCCUGCAAAAGCACCUCUGACUCCAGCAGAGCUUUGAAAUGUGUCCAAGAAGACUGUCGGCAGUGAGAGGAAAGAGGCUGGGACAGGAACUGAAGAGAUCUUUUAUUCCAGGAAUUGGAACCACAAGAGGCAGGACAGGAGUCAACACCAAGGAGACCCAGGAAUCUGAAGUCUCAGAUUAGAGAGUAAUGAACAUGGGAGAGUGGGAAAGCAUGGUAUGUUGGAGCAGAGAGGAAUGCACCAUGCUGGGAGCUGGAUUGAGAAAAUAAAUCCAACAAAGAUCUGGGAGGCAGGACAGAGAGUCAAGGACUGGAGUAAUCUGUGAAGCUGUUGCUCUGAGAGUGAGUGGAUAGAAAAAGAAAGCAGAAGUGAGACACUGUACAGUGUAGUAUUUAGUAAGGGUGGAGAUUGGGAGGAUGCCAUAUAGCUCAGGAUUAAGCCCUUGUGCUGUAGUUCCAGAAGCCCUGCACUAGCAGGCAGUGCCUUGUCACAAACCUAGCAGUGAAAGCCUGACACAUAUUCCAGCAUGUGUAAAUUAAACUACAACGUUCUUAUUUAGCUUGUCUUGGAUACUAUUUUACAGAGAUUGGGAGGUUCCCUGCACCUGCUUCUUUUCUUGUCCUACAACAAUUUAAAAAAAAACUCAGGAAAAAUGCAAUAUUAAAACAGGAUAUUCCACACCCUAGAAGAAAAGGGUCAGCUUCCCUUUUCCCAAAAUGGUUAUUUAUGCUAAUGAACACUUACUCACUCAACUCCCUGGCUGAAGACUUUUGCAAGUCAGACUACAGAAUAUCAGUUUUACAGGUUUAGAAACAAGGAGAAUUUUAACUAAUUCACUCUUUGGUCCAUCAGCAGUUUAAAAUUAUUACCCAAAGUUCUCUAUGGCUAGACUUUUAUCAUUAUUUGUAUUGUGGUAGCACCUAGCACAUUGGGAUGUUAGUUACUGUACAAACAGCACAAAAAAUGUUUUUUGUCCCACAGAGUUUACAAUCUCCUUUAGUUCUAAUCUCCUGUAUGUUCAAGGUGUAAACGACGAAUAACUAUUGAAGUCAGUGGAAUUAUACUGAGGCAGUACUGGUGUAAGUAGG